rnacentral:rRNA from 1 species
GACGAACGCUGGCGGCGUGCUUAACACAUGCAAGUCGAACGGAAAGGCCCUGCUUUUGUGGGGUGCUCGAGUGGCGAACGGGUGAGUAACACGUGAGUAACCUGCCCUUGACUUUGGGAUAACUUCAGGAAACUGGGGCUAAUACCGGAUAGGAGCUCCUGCUGCAUGGUGGGGGUUGGAAAGUUUCGGCGGUUGGGGAUGGACUCGCGGCUUAUCAGCUUGUUGGUGGGGUAGUGGCUUACCAAGGCUUUGACGGGUAGCCGGCCUGAGAGGGUGACCGGCCACAUUGGGACUGAGAUACGGCCCAGACUCCUACGGGAGGCAGCAGUGGGGAAUAUUGCAAAAUGGGCGGAAGCCUGAUGCAGCAACGCCGCGUGCGGGAUGAAGGCCUUCGGGUUGUAAACCGCUUUCGCCUGUGACGAAGCGUGAGUGACGGUAAUGGGUAAAGAAGCACCGGCUAACUACGUG